AGUUCGGUCCCUAUCCGUCGCAGGCGUAGGAAAUUUGAGAAGACCUGUCCUUAGUACGAGAGGACCGGGAUGGACGUACCUCUGGUGUACCAGUUGUCCUGCCAAGGGCAUGGCUGGGUAGCUAUGUACGGAAUGGAUAAGCGCUGAAAGCAUCUAAGCGCGAAGCCAACUUCAAGAUAAGAUUUCCCACCGCAAGGGUAAGACCCCAGAAAGACUAUCUGGUUGAUAGGUCGAAGGUGUAAGUGCAGCAAUGUAUUUAGCUUAUCGAUACUAAUAGGUCGAGGACUUGACCAAU
rnacentral:rRNA from 1 species